CCCUACGGGAGGCAGCAGUGAAGAAUAUUGGUCAAUGGGCGCGAGCCUGAACCAGCCAAGUCGCGUGAGGGAAGACGGUCCUAUGGAUUGUAAACCUCUUUUGUCGGGGAGCAAAAGACGCCACGUGUGGCGUUCCGAGAGUACCCGAAGAAAAAGCAUCGGCUAACUCCGUGCCAGCAGCCGCGGUAAUACGGAGGAUGCGAGCGUUAUCCGGAUUUAUUGGGUCUAAAGGGUGCGCAGGCGGAAGAUCAAGUCAGCGGUAAAAUUGAGAGGCUCAACCUCUUCGAGCCGUUGAAACUGGUUUU
rnacentral:rRNA from 1 species